rnacentral:rRNA from 1 species
GACGAACGCUGGCGGCGUGCUUAACACAUGCAAGUCGAACGAAGUGGCGAACGGGUGAGUAACGCGUAAUCAACCUGCCCUUCAGAGGGGGACAACAGUUGGAACCGACUGCUAAUACCGCAUACUGAUGGAGGGGAUUGCGUCUGAGUGGCUCGUUGGAGGGGUAACGGCCCACCAAGGCGAUGAUCAGUAGCCGGGCUGAGAGGAUGAACGGCCAAAAUGGGACUGAGAAACGGCCCAGACGCCUACGGGAGGCAGCAGUGGGGAAUCUUCCGAAAUGGAGGAAAGUCUGACGGAGCAAAGCCGCGGGAGUGAUGACGGCCUUCGGGUUGUAAAGCUCUGUUAAUCGGGACGCGGUACCGGAAUAGAAAGCCACGGCUAACUACGUGCCAGCCGCCGCGGUAAUUC